rnacentral:rRNA from 1 species
GACGAACGCUGGCGGCGUGCUUAACACAUGCAAGUCGAACGGAAAGGCCCUGCUUUUGUGGGGUGCUCGAGUGGCGAACGGGUGAGUAACACGUGAGUAACCUGCCCUUGACUUUGGGAUAACUUCAGGAAACUGGGGCUAAUACCGGAUAGGAGCUCCUGCUGCAUGGUGGGGGUUGGAAAGUUUCGGCGGUUGGGGAUGGACUCGCGGCUUAUCAGCUUGUUGGUGGGGUAGUGGCUUACCAAGGCUUUGACGGGUAGCCGGCCUGAGAGGGUGACCGGCCACAUUGGGACUGAGAUACGGCCCAGACUCCUACGGGAGGCAGCAGUGGGGAAUAUUGCACAAUGGGCGGAAGCCUGAUGCAGCAACGCCGCGUGCGGGAUGACGGCCUUCGGGUUGUAAACCGCUUUCGCCUGUGACGAAGCGUGAGUGACGGAAAUGGGUAAAGAAGCACCGGCUAACUACGUG